rnacentral:rRNA from 1 species
GAUGAACGCUCGCUACAGGCUUAACACAUGCAAGUCGCGGGGCAGCAUGGGGGUUGCUUGCAAUCCCCGAUGGCGACCGGCGCACGGGUGAGUAACGCGUAUUCAACCUGCCCUUCACCACGGGAUAACCCGGCGAAAGUCGGACUAAUACCGUAUGUUGUCCAUUGACGGCAUCCGAUUUGGACGAAAGGCUUGGCGGUGAGGGAUGGGGAUGCGUCCGAUUAGCCAGACGGCGGGGUAACGGCCCACCGUGGCUACGAUCGGUAGGGGUUCUGAGAGGAAGGUCCCCCACACUGGAACUGAGACACGGUCCAGACUCCUACGGGAGGCAGCAGUGAGGAAUAUUGGUCAAUGGGCGUAAGCCUGAACCAGCCAAGUAGCGUGCAGGAUGACGGCCCUAUGGGUUGUAAACUGCUUUUAUGCGGGGAUAAAGUGGCCCACGUGUGGGCUUUUGCAGGUACCGCGUGAAUAAGGACCGGCUAAUUCCGUG